rnacentral:SRP_RNA from 17 species
UCGCUGUGUCCGGCCGGGUCGUGGUGUCCAGGUGGUGCCGUGGUCAACGUGUGCCCUGGAGCCACUUCGUCACCGGAGGGAAGCAGCAUGGAGAGCGACUGCGGGUGUGAAGGCAGCCUGUC